AAAGGCGCGCGAUACAGGGUGACAGCCCCGUACACAAAAGCGCAUGUGCUGUGAGCUCGAUGAGUAGGGCGGGACACGUGGUAUCCUGUCUGAAUAUGGGGGGACCAUCCUCCAAGGCUAAAUACUCCUGACUGACCGAUAGUGAACCAGUACCGUGAGGGAAAGGCGAAAAGAACCCCGGCGAGGGGAGUGAAAAAGAACCUGAAACCGUGUACGUACAAGCAGUGGGAGCACCCUUUGGGGUGUGACUGCGUACCUUUUGUAUAAUGGGUCAGCGACUUAUAUUCUGUAGCAAGGUUAACCGAAUAGGGGAGCCGGAGGGAAACCGAGUCUUAAUUGGGCGUUAAGUUGCAGGGUAUAGACCCGAAACCCGGUGAUCUAGCCAUGGGCAGGUUGAAGGUUGGGUAACACUAACUGGAGGACCGAACCGACUAAUGUUGAAAAAUUAGCGGAUGACCUGUGGCUGGGGGUGAAAGGCCAAUCAAACCGGGAGAUAGCUGGUUCUCCCCGAAAGCUAUUUAGGUAGCGCCUCGUGAAUUCAUCUCCGGGGGUAGAGCACUGUUUCGGCUAGGGGGCCAUCCCGGCUUACCAACCCGAUGCAAACUGCGAAUACCGGAGAAUGUUAUCACGGGAGACACACGGCGGGUGCUAACGUCCGUCGUGAAGAGGGAAACAACCCAGACCGCCAGCUAAGGUCCCAAAGUCAUGGUUAAGUGGGAAACGAUGUGGGAAGGCCCAGACAGCCAGGAUGUUGGCUUAGAAGCAGCCAUCAUUUAAAGAAAGCGUAAUAGCUCACUGGUCGAGUCGGCCUGCGCGGAAGAUGUAACGGGGCUAAACCAUGCACCGAAGCUGCGGCAGCGACGCUGAUGCGUUGUUGGGUAGGGGAGCGUUCUGUAAGCCUGCGAAGGUGGCCUGUGAGGGUUGCUGGAGGUAUCAGAAGUGCGAAUGCUGACAUAAGUAACGAUAAAGCGGGUGAAAAGCCCGCUCGCCGGAAGACCAAGGGUUCCUGUCCAACGUUAAUCGGGGCAGGGUGAGUCGACCCCUAAGGCGAGGCCGAAAGGCGUAGUCGAUGGGAAACGGGUUAAUAUUCCCGUACUUGGUGUUACUGCGAAGGGGGGACGGAGAAGGCUAUGUUGGCCGGGCGACGGUUGUCCCGGUUUAAGCGUGUAGGUGUGUGUUCCAGGUAAAUCCGGUUCACUUUAACACUGAGGCGUGAUGACGAGGCACUACGGUGCUGAAGCAACAAAUGCCCUGCUUCCAGGAAAAGCCUCUAAGCAUCAGGUAACAUCAAAUCGUACCCCAAACCGACACAGGUGGUCAGGUAGAGAAUACCAAGGCGCUUGAGAGAACUCGGGUGAAGGAACUAGGCAAAAUGGUGCCGUAACUUCGGGAGAAGGCACGCUGACACGUAGGUGAAGUGAUUUACUCAUGGAGCUGAAGUCAGUCGAAGAUACCAGCUGGCUGCAACUGUUUAUUAAAAACACAGCACUGUGCAAACACGAAAGUGGACGUAUACGGUGUGACGCCUGCCCGGUGCCGGAAGGUUAAUUGAUGGGGUCAGCGCAAGCGAAGCUCCUGAUCGAAGCCCCGGUAAACGGCGGCCGUAACUAUAACGGUCCUAAGGUAGCGAAAUUCCUUGUCGGGUAAGUUCCGACCUGCACGAAUGGCGUAAUGAUGGCCAGGCUGUCUCCACCCGAGACUCAGUGAAAUUGAACUCGCUGUGAAGAUGCAGUGUACCCGCGGCAAGACGGAAAGACCCCGUGAACCUUUACUAUAGCUUGACACUGAACAUUGAGCCUUGAUGUGUAGGAUAGGUGGGAGGCUUUGAAGUGUGGACGCCAGUCUGCAUGGAGCCGGCCUUGAAAUACCACCCUUUAAUGUUUGAUGUUCUAACGUGGACCCGUGAUCCGGGUUGCGGACAGUGUCUGGUGGGUAGUUUGACUGGGGCGGUCUCCUCCUAAAGAGUAACGGAGGAGCACGAAGGUUGGCUAAUCCUGGUCGGACAUCAGGAGGUUAGUGCAAUGGCAUAAGCCAGCUUGACUGCGAGCGUGACGGCGCGAGCAGGUGCGAAAGCAGGUCAUAGUGAUCCGGUGGUUCUGAAUGGAAGGGCCAUCGCUCAACGGAUAAAAGGUACUCCGGGGAUAACAGGCUGAUACCGCCCAAGAGUUCAUAUCGACGGCGGUGUUUGGCACCUCGAUGUCGGCUCAUCACAUCCUGGGGCUGAAGUAGGUCCCAAGGGUAUGGCUGUUCGCCAUUUAAAGUGGUACGCGAGCUGGGUUUAGAACGUCGUGAGACAGUUCGGUCCCUAUCUGCCGUGGGCGCUGGAGAACUGAGGGGGGCUGCUCCUAGUACGAGAGGACCGGAGUGGACGCAUCACUGGUGUUCGGGUUGUCAUGCCAAUGGCACUGCCCGGUAGCUAAAUGCGGAAGAGAUAAGUGCUGAAAGCAUCUAAGCACGAAACUUGCCCCGAGAUGAGUUCUCCCUGAGACUUAGAGUCUCCUGAAGGAACGUUGAAGACGACGACGUUGAUAGGCCGGGUGUGUAAGCGCAGCGAUGCGUUGAGCUAACCGGUACUAAUGAACCGUGAGGCUUAACCUUACA
rnacentral:rRNA from 3 species